rnacentral:rRNA from 1 species
CAGUCGCCGCGGUAAUGCAGAGGGUGCAAGCGUUAAUCGGAAUUACUGGGCGUAAAGCGCGCGUAGGUGGUUUGUUAAGUUGGAUGUGAAAUCCCCGGGCUCAACCUAGGAACUGCAUUCAAAACUGACUGACUAGAGUAUGGUAGAGGGUGGUGGAAUUUCCUGUGUAGCGGUGAAAUGCGUAGAUAUAGGAAGGAACACCAGUGGCGAAGGCGACCACCUGGACUAAUACUGACACUGAGGUGCGAAAGCGUGGGGAGCAAACAGGAUUAGAUACCCGGGUAGUCCCUGUCUCUUAUAC